rnacentral:rRNA from 1 species
UACGAAGGGGGCUAGCGUUGUUCGGAAUUACUGGGCGUAAAGCGCACGUAGGCGGCGAUUCAAGUCAGAGGUGAAAGCCCGGGGCUCAACCCCGGAACUGCCUUUGAAACUAGAUUGCUAGAAUCCUGGAGAGGUGAGUGGAAUUCCGAGUGUAGAGGUGAAAUUCGUAGAUAUUCGGAAGAACACCAGUGGCGAAGGCGACUCACUGGACAGGUAUUGACGCUGAGGUGCGAAAGCGUGGGGAGCAAACAGG